UUUAGAAUUUAGAAAUCGACUUCUAGUUAUGGUUAAAUAUUUGUUUGUAUUUUUAAAAGUUGUUUUAUACUUUGGAAUUAAUUGUGUAAAAUUAGAAACACACAAAUACAACUAGUAUGUAACUUGAUGUGCUAAUACUAAACACACUUGUAUGCACUCACGUUACCCACAUACGCGCUGAUAGGCAGAAUGGGCUAAUUAGCAAAUACGUAUACUGGUUAUUUGAUUGGCUCAAGUUAAUGGUCACAUCUCCUAGUCAAAUGGUUUGGGUCCAGCCCAAGUGCACUCACGCACAACUCACGAACGCACACACGCCUCGCCUCUCUGUCUCUUCCUCGCCUGUACGCGUUCACGCCGCCGCCGUCGCCUGCUGUUUCCCCGGCCGACUCCGGCCAUGCCUGGCGCCGCCGUUUGCCGCCACAGCUCCGCCUUGCUCUCCUCCAUAGAUUCCCCCUUGGCGCCUCCUCUCUACGCGUUCGCCAGCGCGCCCGCGGCAAACCCUAGCCCGCGGUUGGCUUGGUCGCCGCCGGCCGCUACCGGCUCCGGCGCCUCUGGCUACUCCCCUUCGUUGACCACGCCGCCUCGACGUUCUUCCUCGACCACCACCCGAACUCUCGCUCGACAUGGCCGUGUUUGGCCACCCACCAAUCUCCCCGAUGGUGUGGUGCUGCUGUGACAACGUUGCUGUGCCACUUGUUGCUGCCUCGACGCCGGCGGGAUGGUGCCGCAGACGCAACCCUGGCAUCGACUACAUCGCAUACUCCAUAAAUAUGUCACUGUUGUGACUGUGCUGCUUGUUGAUGGACACCACUCCCUGUAUGUUAUCAAGUUGGAUUUCUUUGCCUUCAAGUGCAAGGCUACGGCUGUUUGCUCUUAUCCCUUGUAGAUAUUUAUUUUGAUGCAGCCAAGUGGUGCUUGAUUAAGUGUGGCUUUACUUUGUUUGCCCUUUGCAUGAAAAGAAGAUCAAUAGAAGAUUGAGAAGAUUUAGAUUUAGGAAUUCUUUUAUUUCCUUGUAAUAUUAUAUUACUUUUGUAACUUGUAACUUUGUUUCUCUUUAUGGGAAUUGUAAAUGAGUGGGAUAAUGAUAUUUGCAAUAAGGUUUAAAUUAUUUAUCUAA